UCCUGAGACCUUUGUCCAGCUGCCAUGAG
rnacentral:piRNA from 1 species